rnacentral:rRNA from 1 species
GUGGAUUAGAUACCCGGGUAGUCCACGCCGUAAACGAUGGAUACUAGCUGUUGGGGGCAACUUCAGUGGCUAAGCGAAAGUGAUAAGUAUCCCACCUGGGGAGUACGGGCGCAAGCCUGAAACUCAAAGGAAUUGACGGGGGCCCGCACAAGCGGUGGAGCAUGUGGUUUAAUUCGAUGAUACGCGAGGAACCUUACCAAGGCUUAAAUGUAGAUUGACAGGCGUGGAAACAUGCUUUUCUUCGGACAAUUUACAAGGUGCUGCAUGUCCGUCGUCAACU